rnacentral:rRNA from 1 species
ACUCCUACGGGAGGCAGCAGUGGGGAAUUUUGCGCAAUGGGGGAAACCCUGACGCAGCAAUACCGCGUGAAGGAUGAAGGCCCUUGGGUCGUAAACUUCUGUCAGUGGGGAAGAAAUGCCCGUAAGGGAGAUGACGGUACCCACAAAGGAAGCACCGGCUAACUCCGUGCCAGCAGCCGCGGUAAUACGGAGGGUGCAAGCGUUGUUCGGAAUUAUUGGGCGUAAAGAGCAUGUAGGCGGUCUGUUAAGUCUGGUGUGAAAGCCCUGGGCUCAACCCAGGAAGUGCAUUGGAUACUGGCAGACUUGAGUAUGGGAGAGGAAAGUGGAAUUCCGAGUGUAGGAGUGAAAUCCGUAGAUAUUCGGAGGAACACCAGUGGCGAAGGCGGCUUUCUGGACCAAUACUGACGCUGAGAUGCGAAAGCGUGGGGAGCGAACAGGAUUAGAUACCCCAGUAGUCC